rnacentral:rRNA from 1 species
UGUAGCUUGAUAUUGGAUGUUGGUACAGUUUGUACAGGAUAGGUAGGAGCCAGAGAAGUCGGAGCGCCAGCUUCGAUGGAGGCGUCGGUGGGAUACUACCCUGACUGUGCUGACAUUCUAACCUCGAGCCGUGAUCCGGUUCAGGGACAGUGUCAGGUGGGCAGUUUGACUGGGGCGGUCGCCUCCUAAACAGUAACGGAGGCGCCCAAAGGUUCCCUCAGAAUGGUUGGAAAUCAUUCGCAGAGUGCAAAGGCAUAAGGGAGCUUGACUGCGAGACCUACAAGUCGAGCAGGGACGAAAGUCGGGCUUAGUGAUCCGGUGGUUCCGCAUGGAAGGGCCAUCGCUCAACGGAUAAAAGCUACCCUGGGGAUAACAGGCUUAUCUCCCCCAAGAGUCCACAUCGACGGGGAGGUUUGGCACCUCGAUGUCGGCUCAUCGCAUCCUGGGGCUGAAGUAGGUCCCAAGGGUUGGGCUGUUCGCCCAUUAAAGCGGUACGCGAGCUGGGUUCAGAACGUCGUGAGACAGUUCGGUCCCUAUCCGUCGCGGGCGCAGGAAAUUUGAGAGGAGCUGUCCUUAGUACGAGAGGACCGGGAUGGACACACCGCUGGUGUACCAGUUGUUCCGCCAGGAGCAUAGCUGGGUAGCUACGUGUGGACGGGAUAAGUGCUGAAAGCAUCUAAGCAUGAAGCCCCCCUCAAGAUGAGAUUUCCCAUGGAGUUAAUCCAGUAAGACCCCUUAGAGAUGAUGAGGUUGAUAGGUCUGGUGUGGAAGCGUGGCGACACGUGGAGCUGACAGAUACUAAUCGGUCGAGGACUUAUCCAA